UACAUUUUCCGCAAGAACCAUUACUGGAUGUACGAGAACCACGCCAACAGAACACGGUAUGGCGACCCUCUGUACGUCGCCCUAGAAUGGAAAGGAGUUCCGAACUACGUUGAUGGCUAUGCGCAUGUCUGGUUCUAUUCCGGGAAACUAAUCACCGAUGCAGCCUACUUCUUCAAAGGUGAACACUAUUACAAAUACGAUAGCGAAAAUGACCGUGUGUACGAUGGUUGGCCUCGUCUAAUCACCGAAGACUUCGGUCCUAAACCUGACGAAACCGAGGGUAUUCCCGCGAACAUAGAUACAGUCUACUUUGACAUGAGAGACAGAAAUUUGUAUUUCUUUAAAGGAGACAUGGUUUAUGUUUAUGAUCCUAAAGGAGCGGAUCACACAAAAGGAUGUUGCGUGCGCAAACGAAAAAUAUGGGAGGAGUUUCCACCAAUGGAAGGAGAGGAUCCUUUGCCUAGCGAUUUAGACGUCGCGUAUUUUUCUUAUAGUGACAAAAAAGUGUAUUUCCUGAAAGACGAAACUGUUUGGGAAAAUGUUUUGUUCAACCCUCGACAAAAACAGAUUAGAAACUCUGUGAAAAAGAUCGGAACUUGGUAUGAGAAAUGGUAUGAUGUAUGUGACGUCAGAACAAUGGACGCGCCACCUGAUGGAACUGAAAAAACGUAGAUGUGACGUCAUAUGUUCGCUCAUCGUAUGAGCGAUUAUCUUACUGUUAUCAAAUUUUGCUUGGAAAAAAGACGGGCAUAGCUUUUCUUCCUGUGCGAUAUGAAAACUCAGUAUUGCUAAAAUAGGGGCGAGUGUCAGUGAAGUGUGCUGAAGUUUCUAUGCAAAACGUUUCCUUGUUAAAGCCAUUUUAGGUUGUACGAAAACUUCGCAAAAUCUGCAUGGUUGCUGCGUAAGAAGACUUAGCUCAAGGCGAUUCCAAUUUUCCGAAAAGGGAAGUUGAUCCAGUGAGAUACAUAAUUAUUUUGCAAGUGUCAAAUCGGCUUGUAUUAUUUUCUGUUUCCCAGUUUUUCCGAAACUUCUUGCAACAUUUUAGCAAUGUAUUGAAGUGUUCUUGGGGGGAAAAAAUCUGUGAGCUCGAUGUUUUUGCCUUCAGUGAAAAAACUCUUUCUGCGAGAAAGAAACCGGAAGGAGCCCGAGUAGUUCGCACGGACAGACGAGUUUUUGCGCAUGUGCUCUGCAUAUGGUGGUAUCCAUGAUACACUUGUGAUAUAAUUUAUUACAAUGACAAAUAUUUAUGUACAACACAUUCCCAAGUUGUUUUGAAACCUCUUCAAUCGCAGAUUAUAUGUUGUCAAGAGUUGUUACAAUCACCAGUUGUUCUUCAUUGUAUGAGAAGCUUCCUGUGGCUCGUGGUUUUUUCAAGAUUUACCAAACAUCUUCAGAUUUAUAGUUAAAAGGCAAAAUCGCCCUUUAUUACUUGUAGUUCGAUAAUAUCUUCACUAGAAAAUAAGAAAAUUGUAUUAAUUGCGCUACCGAAUUUUAAUAAUACACAAGUAUUCUGGCCAGUUUACAAGAUGUUUUGAUAUAUACAUUGUAUUAUUUUUUAAAUGAUAUCAUUUCAUGCAAUAUAUGACGCAAUAUAAUCAUUUACAUAUCAAAUGACGUCAUCUGCGUGAACAUACCACCUGCAUGUUGCUACUGUUGAUCAAUGUAACCUUGACCUACUUGUUGAUAUUUGUCCUCAUUUUGGUUAUAUGACCUAAUUGUUGUGACCUGUUUUUUAUUGUCGCUAACAGAUGUAAUGAUUGUCUCUGUUUCGUCACCAGGCAUAUUUAUGGAUAAUGUUAUGUUUUAAGAUUUUAAUUUUGGUAUAACUGUACAUUUUCUCGUGUUUGUUUAAUUUAUUUAUUGCCAUCAUGUCCUUCUUUGCCGAGGAUUGAUGUGUGUGACAUUUACUAUGUUCACCCCCAAGGGUUGUUCACUCUUUGAAGGGUGGGGUUUAGUAAAUGGAGCAAAUGUGCGCGUGAAAGAGAACGAGUAAAUUGUCUGAAAGCGAGAUUUUGUUGAAACAGAUCCUUAUUAAAAUCAGCUUGAUGGAUCAUUGGUGAUAUAAAGUUUAUUACAACAAUC
rnacentral:misc_RNA from 1 species